rnacentral:lncRNA from 1 species
GCCGAGCUGCUUUCCUCCCCCGCCUCCCCACAAGUUCCCUGAUGCCCCCCACUUGGCACUACCGCCGUCCAGCAGUAAAGGUGGCAUUCGGAGCCGUAGCCUGGACCCUGACUGUUGGCGGCUCGUGUGCUAGCUGAGCUCACCUCCCCCUGGGCCCCACCUGCCUACUCCAGGGUCUUAGGCGGGUGGGGGUGGCACGCUGUGAGCCCUCACCGAUCUGAUCUGGGCCAAAGCCACCCACCCCCUCCAGACGCCCAUCUGCCUGUACCCUGCAGGCCCAGGCAUUGCCUUUGGUGCGUCCUUUAGACUCACCAGGAUGCCCCGCUCAGGACAGAAGACAGAAAGAGGUGGCUGCCAGGCAGACACCUCCCUCACACAGGCGCCCCCGCCCCCCUUCUUGCCUGGAGGGGAGUCUUGGCUCCAGUCCUCGCCUUGGAGGGGAGAAGCUGCUUCGCGCAGAGGAGUGCUGGCCUGUGGCUCGUGGGGCUUCUGCCAGGCCCCAGGUGCUGCCAGGCGGGUCCAGGGCCCUGUCUCGGUUCCAUUCGAGGGACACCCCGCUGGACACCCCUCCCGCCACUCUGCCCUGCCCUGCCCCAGCUCACAGGCACUCCAGUGGCCCCCCGUGUGUCCAUCUGCUCCUGCAGGCAGAAGAGGGUCUUAGACUCUAGCCGAAUCCGGCCCCUGCAGCUAGAGCCCUCCAGAGUUUCAGGGCCCCAGGCUCCUUGGCAAGGACUGAAAGGCCCCCGAAGUGGCCCACGUGCCCGUGGGACACCUUGGAGAACUGGACCCAGGCCCGGCCAGAACUGUCAGCUGCACCCCAGGGGAGCUUGCUCAGCCGGAGGUGGGUGGGGCGGAGCGAGGCUUGGACCCAGAGCAGCAGGCCUUCGGGAGGUCCCAGCGAAACGGCCCCAGAGGCUGCACCUGAGAGGCCCCCAGGGCCUUGGCGGGCCGCACAGGUGCAAGCGGGGGGCCUCCUGUCUCCUCUGGAGCCCCCCAGGCCGGGCCGCACCACCACUGCUCCCCAGCUGGGGGGUCGCCCCCAGAUGGCGGCAGCACUGGCCUCGGAACCACCAGUGUCUGCUCGUCCACCCUGAGCGCCGCCUCCGGUGGCCUGGCGUGUGGCUGCAGGCGGAGGAGAGUGAGGCCUUCGAGAGAGGGGGACCUCGUGGACCCCCCGCAGCCUGCCCGCUCUGGGACAGAGCUGCCAGGUGCAGGGUGCCCCGCCGCCACUGCAGGAUGUUGCCCAUUCUCCUCCCUCUGUUUUCGGAGGGUCACGGGCCUGUGCUGGAGGGCAGCCUCGCUCAUGAUCCUUCCAGGGCUGGGCUGCAAGGGGGUGCCAGGGUGUCCUCAACCACCCAGACUUCUGCCUCCAGCAGUGCUGGCGGCGGGCACCGCCGGAAGCCCCUGGAUGCCGGCGCCCUCCCUCCAGCACCGCUUGAGUCCGCGCUGCGGGCACUCACAGCAGCUUGUUCCCCUGGUGGGGGGUGCGGGGGAGGGCUGCCUGGCAGGGUAGGCAUCACUGCCCAGGGUGGACUCCAACACUGGCAGCCUCUGGGCACAGCACAGCCUGGCAUGGAGUCCUGCCAGCCCCAUCCUACCCCCUAUCAAAGCUCCCUGGUUCUCUUGAAGGAUCAGGUCAGCCCUGGCUGGGACAGACGGUGAGGAGGGAGGAAAGGUCAGGAGAGUCAAAGGAGGCCAGCGCCCCACCAACCAGAGCUCUGUGCACAGCAGGGCCUGGAUGGGCAGGAAGCAGUGGUCCCCGGGGGCUCCGCGGUCAGCCAGUGUGGGAGGCCGCUUUCUUCGGGAGGUUGUGUGUGGGUCUGGAGUGGUGGCCGGGGAUGGGCGUGGGACAGUGGGCUGAUCCAGGGGCAGGAAGGACAGUCGUCACCCCCAAGCUUCCUGCACACUAUUUAAAGCCUCACUUUUAGUCUGGGAUGGGGGCCUUCCCACAUCUUUGGUAUUAAAGUGUCUUUCUGUGACACAUGCUUGUCUUUCAACUUCCUCUUUGGAUGAAAAGUUGGCAUUCCUAUGAGAUUCUGGUAACUUGAGGGCUCUCUUGGUGGGGCGUGGAUGGGCCUUGGUGUGGAUGGUUCAGGGCUGGAAGGGUGAAGGUGUGGCCUUGCUGGUUGGGAGCAUGUCACAGAAAGAAGUCAUGUGGGACCCUCUCCAACAGCUUCAUCCUAGUGGGGGGUUUUGAGCACUGGAAGCAGGUCCCACCCAGGGUGGAGGAAACCGGCUGUCUGCAGGCAAGGGGAAGUUGGAUGGCAGCUCCCCCAGAAAGGGAGGGGGGCCCAAGUGUGGGAGUUAGGGUUAGGGCUGGGAAAUGGCCUCACACUCCCCUGGGUCCCCAGCAGCCGCUCACCACACCAGGGCUUGUGAUCAGAGAGUGUCCAUGAGGGAGCGGGAGGACACAGGAGAGCUGACCUCCUGGGGCAGGGGUCUCCCCACCUCUGCUCAAGUUGGGUGGGAAGCGGCCAGGGGCAUCAGGAUCGGGGGAUGGGGGCUGGAGUGGCCAAACGUAGGGCAAGCUCUUGACUGGAACUGGCCUCCCCAGGGAGGAGCCGUGUCUGGCCACCCACCUCCGAGCACUGAAGGCCAGUCGAUGGAUCCUGGGUUCGAGCUAGCGGGGAGGGCGGCUGGAAGCCAAGGACCCCUCU